UGCAGGCCUAACACAUGCAAGUCGAACGGUAACAGGAAGCAGCUUGCUGCUUUGCUGACGAGUGGCGGACGGGUGAGUAAUGUCUGGGAAACUGCCUGAUGGAGGGGGAUAACUACUGGAAACGGUAGCUAAUACCGCAUAACGUCGCAAGACCAAAGAGGGGGACCUUCGGGCCUCUUGCCAUCGGAUGUGCCCAGAUGGGAUUAGCUAGUAGGUGGGGUAACGGCUCACCUAGGCGACGAUCCCUAGCUGGUCUGAGAGGAUGACCAGCCACACUGGAACUGAGACACGGUCCAGACUCCUACGGGAGGCAGCAGUGGGGAAUAUUGCACAAUGGGCGCAAGCCUGAUGCAGCCAUGCCGCGUGUAUGAAGAAGGCCUUCGGGUUGUAAAGUACUUUCAGCGGGGAGGAAGGCGAUAAGGUUAAUAACCUUGUCGAUUGACGUUACCCGCAGAAGAAGCACCGGCUAACUCCGUGCCAGCAGCCGCGGUAAUACGGAGGGUGCAAGCGUUAAUCGGAAUUACUGGGCGUAAAGCGCACGCAGGCGGUCUGUCAAGUCGGAUGUGAAAUCCCCGGGCUCAACCUGGGAACUGCAUUCGAAACUGGCAGGCUAGAGUCUUGUAGAGGGGGGUAGAAUUCCAGGUGUAGCGGUGAAAUGCGUAGAGAUCUGGAGGAAUACCGGUGGCGAAGGCGGCCCCCUGGACAAAGACUGACGCUCAGGUGCGAAA
rnacentral:rRNA from 1 species